rnacentral:lncRNA from 1 species
GCCAGGGCCGGGAAGCGGGCCUUGGAGCUGGCGUAGUACUUCUGCGCCGUCUUGAACCAGGUGGCCACGGACGGCUCCGGCUGCGGGGCCGCGGCCGGCGACGCGGAGGAGAGCGAGGAGACGAAGUCGGUGACGAUGGCGCGCUGCGGCGCGGAGAAGUUGCCGUACCAGACGAGGUUGACGGCGAUGCGGCCGGAGAGGAGCGCGCCCUUGUGGUACUUCAUGGUGAUGGGCGGGUCCUGCACCAGCGCCGUGAGCCGCCUCGUGGCGACGCAGGUCUGCACCAGCAUUGCGCACACCAUGACCGCCAC